GGAUCGUUAGCUCAGUUGGUAGAGCAGCUGACUCUUAAUCAGCGGGUCGUAGGUUCGAGUCCUACACGGUCCACCA
rnacentral:tRNA from 1 species